rnacentral:rRNA from 1 species
CACACUGGACUGAGACACGGCCCAGACUCCUACGGGAGCAGCAGUGGGAAUAUUGCACAAUGGGCGCAAGCCUGAUGCAGCGACGCCGCGUGAGGGAUGACGGCNUUCGGGUUGUAAACCUCUUUCAGUAGGGAAGAAGCCUUCGGGUGACGGUACCUGCAGAAGAAGCGCCGGCUAACUACGUGCCAGCAGCCGCGGUAAUACGUAGGGCGCGAGCGUUAUCCGGAAUUAUUGGGCGUAAAGAGCUCGUAGGCGGUUUGUCGCGUCUGCUGUGAAAGCCCGGGGCUUAACUCCGGGUGUGCAGUGGGUACGGGCAGACUAGAGUGCAGUAGGGGAGACUGGAAUUCCUGGUGUAGCGGUGAAAUGCGCAGAUAUCAGGAGGAACACCGAUGGCGAAGGCAGGUCUCUGGGCUGUUACUGACGCUGAGGAGCGAAAGCAUGGGGAGCGAACAGGAUUAGAUACCCUGGUAGUCCAUGCCGUAAACGUUGGGCACUAGGUGUGGGGGACAUUCCACGUUUUCCGCGCCGUAGCUAACGCAUUAAGUGCCCCGCCUGGGGAGUACGGCCGCAAGGCUAAAACUCAAAGGAAUUGACGGGGGCCCGCACAAGCGGCGGAGCAUGCGGAUUAAUUCGAUGCAACGCGAAGAACCUUACCAAGGCUUGACAUGUGCCAGACCGCCAUAGAGAUAUGGUUUCCCUUUUGGGCUGGUUCACAGGUGGUGCAUGGUUGUCGUCAGCUCGUGUCGUGAGAUGUUGGGUUAAGUCCCGCAACGAGCGCAACCCUCGUUCCAUGUUGCCAGCGGGUUAUGCCGGGGACUCAUGGGAGACUGCCGGGGUCAACUCGGAGGAAGGUGGGGACGACGUCAAAUCAUCAUGCCCCUUAUGUCUUGGGCUUCACGCAUGCUACAAUGGCCGGUACAAUGGGUUGCGAUACUGUGAGGUUGAGCUAAUCCCAAAAAGCCGGUCUCAGUUCGGAUUGGGGUCUGCAACUCGACCCCAUGAAGUCGGAGUCGCUAGUAAUCGCAGAUCAGAAC